AUGCUCACUUUGGCAGCACAUAUACUAAAAUUGGAAUAAUACAGAGAAGACUAGCAUGGCCCCAGUGCAUGAAUGACAGAAUGAAUAACAGGUGAUAAACUAUGUUU